AGUAGAUUGGGAAACUCUUCAAAUUAAUAUGAAAUGCCGAGACAAUCCGGCGUUCCAAUGGCGGGCCCCAACCCUCAGGCAGCAAUGCUUCGGCAUUCCCCUCCUCUGUGGUGAUGUAUCGACAUCCAGGCGGAUUACAAAGGAGCGACGGAUCUCAAAUCCUGUCUAUUCGGAGUUUCAUCGCAUCCUUUGGUGU
rnacentral:sRNA from 1 species